CGUAGGGAGCAAGCGUUGUCCGGAUUUACUGGGUGUAAAGGGUGCGUAGGCGGCUUUGCAAGUCAGAUGUGAAAUCUAUGGGCUCAACCCAUAAAACUGCAUUUGAAAACUGUAGAGCUUGAGUGAAGUAGAGGCAGGCGGAAUUCCCCGUGUAGCGGUGAAAUGCGUAGAGAUGGGGAGGAACACCAGUGGCGAAGGCGGCCUGCUGGGCUUUAACUGACGCUGAGGCACGAAAGCGUGGGUAGCAAACAGGAUU
rnacentral:rRNA from 1 species